rnacentral:rRNA from 1 species
UGAAGAUGCCGGAUACCUGCGACAGGACGGAAAGACCCCAUGGAGCUUUACUGUAGCUUGACAUUGGGUUUUGGUACUACAUGUACAGGAUAGGUGGGAGGCUUUGAAACCAGGACGCCAGUUUUGGCGGAGCCAUCCUUGGGAUACCACCCUUGUAGUACUGGGACUCUAACCAUAGGCCAUGAAUCUGGUCUUGGGACACUGUCAGGCGGGCAGUUUGACUGGGGCGGUCGCCUCCCAAAAGGUAACGGAGGCGCUCAAAGGUUCUCUCAGUACGGU